GAUGAACGCUGGCGGCGCGCCUAAUACAUGCAAGUCGAGCGAACAGAUAAGGAGCUUGCUCCUUUGACGUUAGCGGCGGACGGGUGAGUAACACGUGGGUAACCUACCUAUAAGACUGGGAUAACUUCGGGAAACCGGAGCUAAUACCGGAUAACAUUUGGAACCGCAUGGUUCUAAAGUGAAAGAUGGUUUUGCUAUCACUUAUAGAUGGACCCGCGCCGUAUUAGCUAGUUGGUAAGGUAACGGCUUACCAAGGCAACGAUACGUAGCCGACCUGAGAGGGUGAUCGGGCACACUGGAACUGAGACACGGUCCAGACUCCUACGGGAGGCAGCAGUAGGGAAUCUUCCGCAAUGGGCGAAAGCCUGACGGAGCAACGCCGCGUGAGUGAUGAAGGGCUUCGGAUCGUAAAACUCUGUUAUUAGGGAAGAACAAACGUGUAAGUAACUGUGCACGUCUUGACGGUACCUAAUCAGAAAGCCACGGCUAACUACGUG
rnacentral:rRNA from 1 species